rnacentral:rRNA from 1 species
UGGGGGAUAUUGCACAAUGGGCGAAAGCCUGAUGCAGCGACGCCGCGUGGGGGAUGAAGGCCUUCGGGUUGUAAACUUCUUUUGCUCUGAACAAGGCAUGCCUUUGGGGUGUGUUGAGUGUAGGGGUUGAUUAGCGCCGGCUAACUACGUGCCAGCAGCCGCGGUAAUACGUAGGGCGCGAGCGUGGUCCGGAAUUAUUGGGCGUAAAGGGCUUGUAGGUGGCUGGUUGUGUCUGUCGUGAAAGCUCAUGGCUUAACUGUGGGUUUGCGGUGGGGACGGGCUGGCGUGAGGGAAGUAGGGGAGGCUGGAAUUCCUGGUGUAGAGGUGGAAUGCGCAGAUAUCAGGAGGAAUACCGGUGGCGAAGGCGGGUCGCUGGGCUGUUACUGACGCUGAGGAGCGAAAGCGUGGGGAGCGAACAGG